GCUGAACAGUCCCAGCUCUCUCAGCCUCCCCUCAGAAAAGGUGCUGCAGUGCCUUCAUUAUCUAGGUGGCCCUCCCUUGGACUCUCUCCAACCCAGGUCCAAGUCUGCAAGAAGAGUGUGGACCUCUGGCUUACAGAUGUGAAUUGUGUGGCCUAAAUCUUGUGCAUGUCCUCUGGAAAGGAAACAAAUGAGAGAGCUCACCACUUUGACUACAGAUGCCAACUACAUAAGAAGAUACGUACACUGGUUUGCUUCAGUAAUUUAUCUGGUUCCUGAAAGUGUUUCAGAUGCUAUUGCCACUACAGUUGUUGGAGUUCUGCCUUUUAAUUCAACAGCAGAAGGACUGGAGCUUUACAUACUAUUCAUACGUGAAUAUCUUCAGAUGUAGAUAUAUCACUCUUGGUGGAUAACUGGAUUUUCAAUCUUCAGACAUAAUUUUUAAGAACACAGUUUUUCAGGUUAGAUUUAGAACACACAUUCAGAGUUAAUAAGGGAAUAGCAAAGUAUUCCAGGAAUAAAAAAGGGGUCUCAGGAAGCAAUUAUUAUAGCCAUGUAUUCACAUCCUCAUGUUUGUCUUAAAUUAGAUCAGUGGUUCCAAAUAUCCUGUGAACUGUAAUUCUGUCAAAUCAUCUGGCUAUAAGAUAAACUUGAUUAAGUUGGAAGAACUGAAGAUCUUUUAAGGUGUGUAAGGAGGCUUUUAUAUUCAAAUGUUGACAGAAAUACGUCAAAUGCAUUGGCAUCUGGUUCACUGAGGAAAUUGAAAACAUAGUCAAAGUUAACUUAUCCCCAUUCAUUAUGCAGUUAGCAAGCAACUUAAAAGGUUGGCAAGCUCUACCUCUUUCCCUCUGGGGAAAAAUAAACAUAAAGCGAACGCACUUCCUAGGAUCCUGUUUAUUUUAAGUGUCCUCCUUAUUCCAGAUUCUUAUUUUACCAAAAUCAACAUGUUAAAUACCUCUUAGUGAAGCAUUGAUUGUAAACCUGUACUCUCCUCGCAACAUUAUCAGAACCGACAGAUUUCUCAAACUCUCGUCCUAUCACCCGACAAAAGCUCUUAGCUAGACAAUACAACACCGUGAUUUGUGGGGAAGGCGGUGUUAAGAGCCCUAAAUUGGCAUUAAAUGGAAUAGGGAUUGUUUGCUCCUUUUCAUCUCAUUGAACAUACAGACUGUUGGCUGUGUUUAUACUGCUGAGUUGAUUCAAGCCUUGGGGCUGAAUAGCGCUGUCUGGCUUUGCAUCCCCACUCUGCAAGGUCAACUCCCUCUAGAACUGACUUUUAUUGAAAACUGGAG